AGACUGACUUCAAAAAUAUUUUUAUAACUUAAUUAAGGAGUGCAAAUACUCCCUAUAUACUUGAUAGACGAGAAGACCCUAGGAAUUAUUAUAAAAAUAUGUUGGUACAUGUUUGAAUUUUUGUUGGGGCAACAAAGGAUUUAUAUUAAAUAUCCUUAUUUUAAAAUUUUUUGCCGAAAUAUAGUAUGUGUAAAUUAAUUACCCUAGGGAUAACAGCAUAAUUUUACUUUAAGUUUGUGACCUCGAUGUUGGAUUAG
rnacentral:rRNA from 1 species